GGUGAUCAAAGAAAAUGAUUGCAGUUUCCCUUUCAAAAAACAUAAAACAAAGCAAAUACAUGGCAGGUGUAAGCGAUGCAUGCCCAGCGGCAUUAAACAUUUCGCACCCCGAAAUUCAACCUCACAUUCAACACCCUUCUACCAAAACUUACCCUAGCUAGCUGCCUCGUAUGCAUCUCUUACAUCCCAUGUUUUAUUACAAGAACCAGGCAAAGGGGAAAAACGCAAAGAUGUAAAUAAAUAGAAAGACGUAAGGUUAAACAAGGAAUAAAAAGAAAAUUAAAAAGACCUAACGUUAAGGUAAAUCGGACCGGUACCCUCAAUUCCCCGCGAUGCAAUAAUGUCACUCUCCCAAUUCUGCCCUUUUCACUAGGGCAAGAUACUCAGGAGAGUGCAAUUGCAAAGCCUUGUUUCUGUUUUUUUUUCUUUUGUUCUGUUGACAUCAUGUUUCGUCCUUAUUUACAAAAGAACCCUCCUUUGCGGUGCCACCACGACCACAACCACCCAGCACUUCCUUUGUAGUCGAUGCCAUAGUUUCUGGACCUCCGCCGGUGGGUGCUUGUCAUCCUGAAUACUACUACCAAGAGAAAGAAAUGCUAUUGCUAAAAUAUUUUUGCUAGAAGCAUAGUUGCUAAGAAGCUAGCUAGCUAAGAAAAAGUAGAAAAG
rnacentral:misc_RNA from 1 species